ACAUCAGUGAUUCAAUGGUAGAAUGCUUGCCUGUCAUGCUGGAAACCUAGGUUCGAUUCCAAGCUGAUGUG
rnacentral:tRNA from 1 species